GGGGAUUUAGCUCAGUGGUUAUGCUGCCUGCUUCACAAGCGGAAAGACCUGAGUUCGAUCCCCAGAACCCCCC
rnacentral:tRNA from 1 species